rnacentral:rRNA from 1 species
UUUUGGGCUUGGUAAUUGGAAUGAGGGAGAGUUAAACGGACCAUCGAGUAUCCAUUGGAGGGCAAGUCUGGUGCCAGCAGCUGCGGUAAUACCGGCUCCAAUAGCGUAUAUUAAAGUUGUUGCAGUUAAAAAGCUCGUAGUUGGACUUGUGUGCGCUGUCCGCGGGUGGCCUGCGCCCAAAAGGGCGUUUCGGUUCGGCCCCGGUGGCGCCUUGAAAUCUGCAGCUGGGGGGACGUUGGCCUUAACUGGUCGGCGACCGCACGCCGGCUGCUCGGUUACUGUGAGAAAAUUAGAGUGUUCAAGGCAGGCAUUGGGUGCAAUUGAAUACAUUAGCAUGGAAUAAUAAAAUAUGGCUCCUGCCGUAUUUUGUUGGUUUUGACUGGUGGGAGUAAUGAUUGAUAGGGACGGUUGGGGGUGCUAGUAUUGAGCGGCCAGAGGUGAAAUUCAUGGAUUCGCUCAAGACUAACUUAUGCGAAAGCAUUCACCAAGGACGUCCUCUUUAAUCAAGAACGAAAGUUGGGGGAUCGAAGACGAUCAGAUACCGUCGUAGUCUCAACCAUAAACUAUGUCGACUUGGGAUCGGCGGUAGUUUUUUCAUUAAGACACUGUCGGGACCACGGGAGAAAUCAAAGUGUCUGGACUCUGGGGGAAGUAUGGUCGCAAGGCUGAAACUUGAAGAAUUGACGGAAGGGCACCACCAGGAGUGGAGCCUGCGGCUUAAUUUGACCCAACACGGGGAAACUUACCAGGUCCAGAGAUGUAGAGGAUUGACAGAUUGAAGCUCUUUCUUGAUCACUUCGGUGGUGGUGCAUGGCCGUUCUUAGUUGGUGGAGUGAUUUGUCUGGUUAAUUCCGUUAACGAACGAGACCUCAGCCUGCUAGUGUAGUCGGCUGGAUUGCCUUUGGCGAUCCGUGAUUUCGACUUCUUAGAGGGACAAUCGACGCGCAGUCGAUGGAAGUUUGAGGCAAUAACAGGUCUGUGAUGCCCUUAGAUGUUCUGGGCCGCACGCGCGCUACACUGCUGGGCUCAGCGAGUUUUACUUGGCCGAGAGGCCCGGUUAAUCUUGUGAAAUCCCAGCGUGCUUGGGCUCGCCUCCUGCAACUGGAGGCGCCAACGAGGAAUUCCUAGUAGACGCAGGUCAUCAACCUGCAUCGAUUACGUCCCUGCCCUUUGUACACACCGCCCGUCGUUCCAUAAGAGUGAGGCAUCCGGUGAAUUCUCGGGAGAGCCUGGGCGUGGCCAGCAAUGGUCUGCUCGGGUUUGAACUUGCAUAAACUUGGUGCCUAUGAUUAGGG